AGGAUUAACGCUGGCGGUAUGCCUAACACAUGCAAGUCGAAUGCCGAUUUAUCGGCAUGGCGGACGGGUGAGUAACACGUUGGAACCUACCCUGAAGAGGGGAAUAACCCAUCGAAAGAUGGGCUAAUACCCCAUAGUCUCCGAUUUAUUCGGAGUAAAGCUUUCGCGCUUCAGGAGGGGCCUGCGUAGCAUUAGCUUGUUGGUGAGGUAAAAGCUCACCAAGGCUACGAUGCUUAGCUGGUUCGAGAGGAUGACCAGCCACACUGGGACUGAGAUACGGCCCAGACUCCUACGGGAGGCAGCAGUGAGGAAUCUUCACAAUGGGCGCAAGCCUGAUGGAGCAAUACCGCGUGCAGGAGCGCUUUUCGGAGUGUAAACUGUCUUUAUUAGUGACGUAUUA
rnacentral:rRNA from 1 species